rnacentral:lncRNA from 1 species
CGGGACGAUAACAAGUUAACAAUAUGUAAAUCUUGUAUUAGAGUCCAUCCGUAAAGAUGGUCGGCGGAAAUUUGGACUGCCACUAGAAAAUGAUGAUGUAGUGGAUAGGGACAUAUGUUUUGCUUGGCAACGGGCCACCUAUAUACCCCUUAAUGAGUUGUUGCAAGGGUUCGUAACAUGCAAAAAGCGUGACACUAUCGUGUAAACUGAAACUGUAAAUCGGUCAUUUGUUCAAUAUCAUUUUCUUAGAC